rnacentral:rRNA from 1 species
UACGGAAGGCAGCAGUGGGGAAUAUUGCACAAUGGGCGCAAGCCUGAUGCAGCCAUGCCGCGUGUAUGAAGAAGGCCUUCGGGUUGUAAAGUACUUUCAGCGGGGAGGAAGGCGAUGUGGUUAAUAACCGCAUCGAUUGACGUUACCCGCAGAAGAAGCACCGGCUAACUCCGUGCCAGCAGCCGCGGUAAUACGGAGGGUGCAAGCGUUAAUCGGAAUUACUGGGCGUAAAGCGCACGCAGGCGGUCUGUCAAGUCGGAUGUGAAAUCCCCGGGCUUAACCUGGGAACUGCAUUCGAAACUGGCAGGCUAGAGUCUUGUAGAGGGGGUAGAAUUCCAGGUGUAGCGGUGAAAUGCGUAGAGAUCUGGAGGAAUACCGGUGGCGAAGGCGGGCCCCCUGGGACAAAGACUGACGCUCAGGGUGCGAAAGCGUGGGGAGCGAAACAGGGAUUAGGAUAA